rnacentral:rRNA from 1 species
GUGAACAGCGGAGGGAUCAUUACCGAGUUUACAAUUCCCAAACCCCUGUGACAUACCAAUUGUUGCCUCGGCGGAUCAGCCCGCUCCCGGUAAAACGGGACGGGCCGCCAGAGGACCCCUAAACUCUGUUUCUAUAUGUAACUUCUGAGUAAAACCAUAAAUAAAUCAAAACUUUCAACAACGGAUCUCUUGGUUCUGGCAUCGAUGAAGAACGCAGCAAAAUGCGAUAAGUAAUGUGAAUUGCAGAAUUCAGUGAAUCAUCGAAUCUUUGAACGCACAUUGCGCCCGCCAGUAUUCUGGCGGGCAUGCCUGUUCGAGCGUCAUUUCAACCCUCAAGCCCAGCUUGGUGUUGGGACUCCCGAGUCAAAUCGCGUUCCCCAAAUUGAUUGGCGGUCACGUCGAGCUUCCAUAGCGUAGUAGUAAAACCCUCGUUACUGGAAAUCGUCGCGGCCACGCCGUUAAACCCCAACUUCUGAAUGUUGACCUCGGAUCAGGUAGGAAUACCCGCUGAACUUAAGCAUAUCAAAAGCGGGAGGAAAAGAAACCAACAGGGAUUGCCCUAGUAACGGCGAGUGAAGCGGCAACAGCUCAAA